AAUAAAAAAUAAAAAAUAACUGCUAUGAGCUUACUCAUGAGAGGUUUUAUGCUAGAUAAAAGCAAUAAAAGUAUAAUGAUACACAUUACAUUUAUCUGUGGAAAGAUGUCACCAAAUAAAAGCCUUCGAGUGCACAAGGUGUAAUGUUAGUGAUACAUUUGUACGUGGAAAGGCUUCAAAAAUAUAAGCCUUAGAGUAACAUAAGAGUUUUUAUCCUGAAGAAAAACAUUACAAAUACAAAGAUUGGUGCAAUACUUUUACUUAUGUUACAGAUUUUGUUGUACAUGGGAGAAUUUAUGCUGAAGGGUAACCCUCUAACAGUUGCUCAAAUUUUAUUCAAUUUUAGAGAAUUUAUAUUGGAAAGAAACCCUACAACUGUAAUGAAUAUGAAAAAAAUGUUUUAAAAGUACACCUUAGAAAACGCUAGAGAGUUUAUAUGAAAGCAUUUAACAGAUGCAAUAAAUAUAAAAAAUUAAUCAAAAAUCAAGUCUGAAUGAAUAUCAGAAGAUUCACAGUAGAAACCACUAAGAUGCUAACACUUUCAAUGUUAUUCUAAAUCAGGGUAUGGAUUACAAAGAAUAAUUCAAAGUUAACAUAAUUUAGUUAGGCUAAACAGGAAUAAGAGACUAAUAUUUUAGAACUUAAAACUGUAUUCAAAGUACACUGUUUUUUGCAUUGAAAGAGUUUUAGAUUUUUACAAAGGCAAAUUUUGAUGUAAUUCAACUCUCAAAUUACUUGAUGCUGUGUCUUUAUUCCUAGUGUCUGUGUAAAAGCAUGUGGUCAAUUUCUGCUGCUCGGAGCUUUGAGAGGUUCCAUAUUAGGAUAUCAUUUAUAUGCUUUUCAACAGAAGAUUGAGGACACUGAAAUGUGAGGUGUGUGAAGAAAGUCUACACGGAGAAGCUUUUGUGGUUGACUUAUAAAACUGUUAUGACACCUCUAUUGAAAUUUUGCUGUUCAGAUCAGGCACAUAGGAACGUCUGCAUAGAUCUUCAGCCAGGAAGGAAACCAGAGGACAGCUUAAAGUCUUGGGAUUCACAUCAAAUUCCAAUGUAGAAGAUGCUCUAUGACAGACCCACAUAAAAAGAACUGAGGGAGUGCUCAUGCCAAUAGAUGGAAGAAACUUGGGCUUUCCGGCCACAUGAAAUCUUGCCAGUUUCCACAUGACACCACUAAGUUAAGGUCUCCCCGAUUGAGCUGGUCUCGGCAAGUGGCGCCAAAUGUGGGGCUCGAAUCUCAGUCCAAGGGUCGCUGGAGUGACGGUUGGAAUGGAAAACUAGCUGGAGGACACCCAAGUACUCUUAAAAGUAAUCCCCUUGACAUCUGAAACCUUAUCAUGAGCCAGAUGCCAAGGAAGAGACUCCAGGAGGAUCCACAGCCACCCACCUGGGGACAGAUCAAGAAGCUGUCACAGAUGGCAGAAGAAAACCUGAGGAAAGUGGGACAACCAGUCACACUGAAUGAUUUAAUGGUAGCUAUGAUAGCAGUUAUCACCACCGCUGUGAGUAUUCCUUCAAUAAAGGCUGGUAAUAAUGCCUAGAUGCAAUAACUCUGACAGUUACACAUGCUUUCUGAUCUCAGUAUUUAUCAUAAUAAAUCUGCUCCUAUAAUUGAGGCAUACCACCCUCAAAAACCUAUUUGUAAACAGGACUGGACCCAGUUAGAAAAAAUGAACGUACUUGUUCAAGAAGCUUGUUUUGCAGAACAGGCAAAGGUGCUGCACAACGAUUCCUAUGGAAUCAUUAUUAAUUGGUCACCUAAAGGGAUGUUUAGCUCGAAUUGCACCUCUCAGUCUGUGUGCCAUGGCUACACUAUGUUCAGAUGAUCUGGACAAAAUGGUCAGAUAGUAGAAAUGAUAAGAAGUACAGCAAAAGUUCCUAUUACCUGGAACCAUGGUGGUAUAGUUGCACCUCAACCUCAAAUGAUAUGGCCCGCUCUAGGAGCUAAACAUAAAGAUUUGUGGAAACUAUUAAAUGCUCUUAAUAAUAUCAAAAUUUAGGAAAGAAUAGAAAUGCAUCUAGAAGGACAUUCUACACACUUGUUUUUAGAUAUAGCAAAAUUAAAAGGACAAAAAUUUAAGCAUCCUAGGCACAACUGACCUUAAUGCCAGGAACUGGAGUGCUUAAAGGAGCUGCAGACAAAUUAGCCAGUAAUCCAUUAAAAUAGAUAAAAACACUUAGAAGCUCUGUGAUUUCAAUGAUGAUUGUGCUUUUAAUCUAUGUUAUUUGUCUUUGUAUAGUCUGCAGAUGUGGAUCCCAACUCCUGCGAGAAGUAGCUCACUGUGACAAAGCUGCCCUUGCUUUUAUCUCUUUGCAAAUCGAAGAAAGGAGACAUGUUGGGAGCAAGACCCCCAAAAUCUGGCCACAAACUGGUUCCAAAACUGCCCAUAAAUAAAAUCUCUGCAGCACUGUAA